AGUAAGCAAUGAAUGUAAAAUGUCGAAAUCCUCCGUUUAACACAAUUUCGGACAAAGAAGAACGAGGGGGAAGUCUCCUACGUCACCACAGCUCACAGAGAGGAGGAGCGAACAGCCAGCAAGCGGGAAGGACGAAGGCUUGUGGAGUCUCUUCUGCACAAUUAAAGAAAACUAAACAUUACUUGAAAAUAAAAAACAUCCAUUAAUUCAAUUAUACCUAAUUAAUGUUUAAUUCAUUAAUUAGUUUCCCCGUGACUCUUUACGGUGACGGACCAUGGGACCGGAGACGGGAGAACAGGUGGAGCAAUCUGCUGUUCAUUAUUGGAUGGCGGUGUGGACUGGGCCUCUUGUAACUCUUUCUCGUCCACCAUUUCUUUUCCUGCCAUGGAUGAGUUUCUGCCAGCCUGAGAGGUUUAACUCGUGUUCUUCCACUGGGUCGGCUUUACGAACGCACUAAUGAGCUACGGAGACGGAGUGGCGCAGUGGGCUGUGCGAUGAUCAUCGAAACCCGCCACUGCGUCAGGCCAGUGUCCUUGGGCAAGACACUUCAUCCGAAUUUGCCCCUGUGGGUACUGUCCACAGUACAUGACCGUUACAUGUAUGAUAUGUGUGUAAUGUGUACUUGUAAAGCUCCUUGAUGCCUUCGAGGUGUGAAGAUAGGCGGAGUGGCGCAGUGGGCUGUGUGUUGAUCAUCAGAUCAAGGGGGGGGUUGGGGAACACCAGUUCGAAACCCCCCUCCGCUGCGUCUGUAAAGCCAUUGUGUCCUUGGGCAAGACACUUCACCUGAAUGUUCUCCUGUGGGUAUACUGCCCACAGUACAUGUAUGAUAUAUGUGCAAUGUGUUUGUAAAGUGCUUUGAGCAUCUGGAAAAGCGCUAUAAUAAAUGUAAGGAAUUAUUAUUAAUUUCUGAGUGAGCUGUGGCACGAUCACCAUGGAGACGCUUUGUGUGGAGGAUGCCAUCGCAUAUAGACCAAUUACUUGUAUAUAGACUAUUCUGUAGUAUUUCUACUAUAUUAUAUUUUAUUGUAUUUACUUGCACUAUUUUAUCUGUGUUAUUGUGUUGCACUGUUGGAGGAGCCUGUUGUCAUAUCUACACUAGCUAUGAACACAUAACAAUAAAAGCCUUGACACUUGAAUCUUGAAAAGUCCAACAUACAGUAUCGGAGGCAGAACUGGACUGAUGAUGAUCACGACGGUGUUUUUUUGUCGAAAAGCUGAUAUUCCAACCUAUA